rfam:Vittaforma corneae ATCC 50505 unplaced genomic scaffold supercont1.3, whole genome shotgun sequence.
GGAUCCGUAGCUUAAUGGCAAAGCGUUGGUCUACGGAACCAAAGACUGCGGGUUCGAUCCCCGCCGGAUUCG